AAAAGUUGGAAAAUUUAGAAUUUCGUCGGAUUCGUCGUCAAUCUUUUCGAAGGAGAUUUCUCGGUGGUACUAUUUCCGGACGUUCUUGAUCGAAUUUUCUUCAUCGUCGGUAAAGGCAAGUGAAUGUAUUGUAUGACUAUGCUUUAACCUAAUAUUGGGUUGCCUACAUUCUUUAAUUACAGUGCAUUCAUCUAAUCUGAAUGACUGAUUCUGGGCUGAGUACUAUGUUGUUUACGUUUCCAGAAGUUUACUCGAUGAUUGAUUUAUGAAGUGCAGUAGGCACGAUAUGCCAUUCUGCAGUUGUUCAUUAGUGUUGUAUGCAAUGUUUUUUUUUGAAGUCUCAAGCAUAUUCCGGAAGUUAUGUUGGUUAUGCUUGAAGCACGUCAUACAUAUACAUCUCAUGCAUUGGAAGUUUGUCGUCGUCUUCUGGCCGCGACCGUACCGGUACAGCACCGUAUGUCACCCGAGGAGGGGUACGGUGCACACCCUUACGUUACCCGAGGAGGGGUAAGGGUGAGAAGAGCAUGGCAUGUGCAUGGUUAUGUCUUCUUGUGAAAUUCAAUGAAUUAUUCAUAUCAAAUCUUAUUUCCUUUAGUUAGCGUGUAUAUAGAUAUAUAUGCGGCUCUGAAGGCUUAUACCAACCGAAUGUUAAAAUAUUUAAUGUUAUCGUUGGACUUGCUUAGUCAUAACUGUUUCUCCUAGUGUUGGCGGUCUGUUUCAUUACUAGUUUCUAUUUAGAAUUGUUAACACAUUCAACUGUGGCUAAAUAGCUUUUUGUUAAAGUACCUUUCACUUGCUGAGAUUUUUGAAUCUCACCCGUGUUUUCUUUACAGGUAUGUUUAGAUGUUGACGUGCAUUUUGGGGAUGGAUCUCGGUAGCUGCACACACUAACUUAUCACGAUGUCGAUAGCUCAACCGGUGUAUACAAGUGGUGUGUCUGAUGGUCCGUCAUUUGUUUUUGUUUAUGUUGUGGUACGACGCUGGUAGCGUCGUGGCGGACUCUAUAUAUAUGCUGGUUAUAUCUGUUUCUGCCUGCCUGUGAUA